rnacentral:rRNA from 1 species
GACGAACGCUGGCGGCGUGCCUAAUACAUGCAAGUCGAGCGGGCCUCCGGAGGUGCUUGCACCUCCGGAAGGCCAGCGGCGGAAGGGUGAGUAACACGUGGGCAACCUGCCUCAGAGGCCGGGAUAACACCGGGAAACCGGUGAUAAUACCGGAUGCGUCCCCUUUCGCGCCUGGGAGUGGGGAGGACGACGGUCUGUAAGGCCGUCGCUCAAACCGGGGCCGGCGGCGCAUUAGCUGGUUGGUGGGGUAAGGGCCUACCAAGGCGACGAUGCGUUGCCGACCUGAGAGGGUGAUCGGCCACACUGGGACUGAGACACGGCCCAGACUCCUGCGGGAGGCAGCAGUAGGGAAUCAUCCGCAAUGGGCGAAAGCCUGACGGUGCAACGCCGCGUGAGUGAGGAAGGUUUUCGGAUCGUAAAGCUCUGUUGUGAGGGAAGAACAGCUUCCGGAGGAAAUGCCGGAGGUUUGUCGGUACCUCACCAGAAAGCCCCGGCUAACUACGUGCCAGCAGCCGCGGUAA